CCUACGGGAGGCUGCAGUGGGGAAUAUUGGACAAUGGGGGAAACCCUGAUCCAGCAAUGCCGCGUGUGUGAAGAAGGCCUGCGGGUUGUAAAGCACUUUCGGUUGGGAAGAAAAGUUUGGCGCCAAUACCGCCGAACCUUGACGUUACUGACAGAAGAAGCACCGGCUAACUCUGUGCCAGCAGCCGCGGUAAUACAGAGGGUAUCAGUGUUAGUCGGAAGCACGGGGCUGAACGCGCGCGUCGGGUGUGAAAUCCCCGGGCUUAACCUGGGAACUGCAUUCGAUACUACAUGGCUAGAGUAUGGUAGAGGGAAGUGGAAUUUCCGGUGUAGCGGUGAAAUGCGUAGAUAUCGGAAGGAACACCAAUGGCGAAGGCAGCUUCCUGGACUAAUACUGACACUGAGGCACGAAAGCGUGGGUAGCAAACAGGAUUAGAUACCCUAGUAGUC
rnacentral:rRNA from 1 species